rnacentral:tRNA from 1 species
GAAAUAAUGAUAAUUAUAAGCUUCUAACUUAAAAAUAAAUGAUUAAAAUCAUUUUUAUUUCU